rnacentral:lncRNA from 1 species
GCAAAUACAAAAACCAAAAGAAAGAGACGGACAAGAUCUCAUUUACAUGAAUACUACUUCGUUCGUUCACGACUAGAAGAACCUCACAGAUAUUAACAGCCAUAGACAAGAAGACAACGACGAAUUGUGAUGACAUCCAAAGCCGGCAAGGCUGAUAUUAUAAAAUACACAAUAACAGCGCCACAAGGUGAAGAUUAGAAAAGAUUGUACCCGGAUAAUAAAGCAGCAACUAUAAACACCAGAAAUUUUCUUUCAUUCUCAUUGAUAAUAGGUGAAUUAGACUAUUAUUAUGCCCUAAAGAACCACAGUUUUGUAUAGCUUUAUGGCAAAAAAAGUGAUAAUCAAAUGCUCCGAUUAGUGCUUUUCAUGCUUUGCAGGUUAUAUCCAAUAAAAGAAAUCGGUGGAGCACUUUUGGGAUCAAUUAUGGAAAAAAGGAGGCCAAUCAAACAAUACCCACGAAGUGCACCAAGUGAAGGGACAAAACCAAACUGAACCUGGCCAGCCAAUGUUAGACCGUAACCGCGGUAGGACCAUUCUGGCCGCGGUCCUGGCAUACCCGCUGUGGGACCGCAGUAGAACGCGAAAAUUUCAGGGACCAAAGUGUCAAGUUGGGAAAAUUUGGUUUAAAAACCCUUAUAAGAUGAAGAAAUUCGGCCACAUUAGGGCAGACUUAUUUUGGAGAUUACUUUUGCAAGAUACACAAGUGUGAGAGAUCAACCAAAAAUAUCACAGUUCUUUAUCUUUUCUUUUUCUUGCAAUUUUCCAUGAUGAAUAUUUUCCUAGUUUAUCUUUACGUUGUUAUGAGUAGCUAAAUACUUUAGCCUAAGGUUUUGAUGGACCUAUUGAAGGAUGAACUUAUUGAUUAUGUUAAUAUAUUUUGCCAGUUAAUCUCUAUUUGUUCAACUACGUGUUUGUUGUAGUUAAUUGACAGGAUCCUCAAUUAGUUGUGCCUAUUUAGCUGUAAUUAACAAAGUUAGCUAGCGUAUCUCGAAAGAGUGCUUCUAGUAAAUUAUCGUGAUUACUCGGGAGAGAUUUACGGUAAAAAGAGUGUUCAUGAUUGAUAAAGAUGUUAAGCGUAACCGGAAGGGAUUCCAUCAAUAAGGGAAAUCACUACCUUAGAACCUUCUCAUUAUUGUUUACAACUCAAGCAUAUUUAGUUUACAACUGUUUAUUACUUUCAAUAUUAGUUAUUAGAAAUACCAUCAAUAUUGUUUUCAAUGUUUGGGGAAGUUGAUUCUAAAUAAUUUAGUACGUUCAACAAAAGUGAUUGAUAGGUUAAUUCUCUGUGGAUUUAACUCUGGCAAUAAAUACUCAGGUUAUAUUUGUAACGUCUCUGUGUCUUUUUAUAAGACAUAGUUGGGCGUCAUCAAAAUUUUGGCGCCGUUGCCAGGGAAUUAACGGUGUUAUCAAUUACAAUUGAAAGAAGUAUAAAAAUUCUUAGUGUAGUCAGUUUUCUCUAUGCCCAAUUUUUGCAUUGAAAUUUUAGCGGUAUUUAACUUGGUUGCAGAGGUGUAUGCCUAGAAACUCAUCGAGAUCUGGUGAAGUAAUUGAAGCAAUAUCAGACCGAGAAAGUUUUCAAGGCUUUGAAUCGGGCCAAACGAAAAAACAAAAAACAACCACCAAUUGCACAAUUCGAAACAAUCACGGGAGACAACGAGGAAAACCCAGAAGUACCAAUAGUGCCAGAGGCUUCCCUCUAUGAUUGGGCACAACCCGCAGCUAAAACAAGAGACUAUUUUUGGGGUCACAAAUUGAAGAUCCUCAGCAGCACUUGAAGAAUUUUUUAUUUAUCUGCUAAACCCAAAGGCAACCUAACUUAACUCAGGAAGCAAUCAAGCUGUUGUUGUUUCCAUUCUCAGUGACAUGAGCUGUCCAGACCUGGCUGAACUCACUCCCCAUCAAUUCCAUAACAACUUGGGAGGAUUUGGUCAGGCAAUUUCAUUAUAAGUUCAACCCACCCAACAAGACUGCUCAACAAAUUGAUGACAUUUUGAGCUUUAAACAUAAACCAAUAGAGACACUGCAUGAGACAUGGGAGUGUUUUAAAGGAAUCUUAGUUAUAUGUCCGCGCCAUGGUAUUCUAGAUUUAUUGUUGGGGCAGCGGUUUUACAUGGGGUUGUCAGAUAGUGUGAAGAAUAUUGUUGAUGCUUCAGCUGGUGGAGCUUUCUUGAGCAAAACAUGAAGAGAUGGCCAGAGUCUGCUUGACAAGAUGGCACAGAAUUCGGGAUGGACAACCAGGAAUGCACCUAUUACUCCAGUGGUGCACUCAGUGCCUCUUGAUCCAUCCAAUUCUAUGGCUGAAAACAUGGCUACCUUAUUGACACAGUUGAGCAUACUUACCAAAAAGGUGGAAGAGUCAGGGCAAAAACAACAGGUAAAUAUUGUUGAUACUACUAAUGGGGGCUUGUGCACAUCUUGCAUUAGUCAGCCAGCUGGUAACCAGUAGAAUGUAGAACACGAUCAUCAUCACUACCCUGAAGACAUAAACUAUGUGUCUAAUUAUGGAGGCCAAAGACAGGGUGGCCAGAAUUGGGGUCAACAGAAUCAGGAGUACAGGCCAUCACAGCCACAGUUCAACACUAGGAACAUGGGAGGUAUGAGACCCCCCACAAUAUGGCUUCUUACCAAGACCACGGAGAGACAAUAAUCAGAAUAUGCAGCAGGGGUAUCACCCAUCGCAGCAACAGCAUGGUGGAAUGCAGGAAGAUGGGUUUGCUAGACUUGAAGCAAUGAUGCAACAAAUUAUUGGGUCUAAUGCAAAAAUUAAUGAGAGACGGGAUGCACAUGAUGGAGCAAUCAAGAAUAUUGAGGUGCAGGUGGGCCAAGUUUUGAUGUCUCUGAAAAAUCGUCCUCGUGAGACACUACCUGCAGACACCUAGAUAAAUCCAAAAGAUCAGGGCCCGAAACAACUGAUGGCGGUGAGCCUAUGAAAUGGUAGAGAUUUGGAUGUAGAACAAGAAAGGGCUCGAGAAGCUAGACAGGCUGAGACACUCAUACAAGUGCCAUUCGAGCUGGAUGAAUCAACAAAACUGACAGAGGUGAUAGUCAAGCUUGCUCAAGAAGAAAAAAUAUUCAGAAUGAGACCGAGAAAGAAGCCGCAAUAGUCCAGGAGCCAGUAGUUGAUUUAGGAGCUGAUAAAGAUCAGUCCUAAUUGAUUGGAGAAAAGAGACCUCCUGCACUCUUCCCUCAGAGGCUAGCCAAGUACAAAACGGAGGAGCAAUACAAGAAGUUCUUUGACAUGUUAAACCAAAUCCAGGUAAAUAUACCAUUGAUUGAAGCUUUGAAGGAGAUGCCUGGGUAUGCAAAAAUGAUGUAAGACUUGAUGUCCCGAGAGUUGGAUUUCCAAGACUUGGCCACAGUUACGCUUACUCAGACAUGUAGUGCAGUGGUGACUAGACCAAUUGCGAAAAAGCUGUAUAACCCAGGGAGCUUUACAAAUCCAUGCACUAUUGAUAAUUUUGCUUUUUCUAAGGCACUGUGUGAUCUAGGGGCCAACAUAAAUCUUAUUCCCCUGGCAAUUUAUAAGAGGUUGGGCAUUGGAAGAGCUAUAACCACCUCUAUGUUGUUGCAGCUGGCUGACAUGACUGUGAAACGUCCCUCUGGAAUCCUGGACGAUGUGAUGAUUCAGGUAGGGAAGUUUGUGUUCCCUACAAAUUUUGUGAUCCUAGACUGCAAAGUGGAUGAAGGGAUUCAAAUAAUUUUAGAAAGACCAUUCCUAGCCACGAGGAGAGCUCUAAUUAAUUGUGAGACUGGGGAGCUCAAGAUGAGACUGAAUUAUGAAGAAAUAACAUUCAAUGUGUAGAAAUCUAUAAGGCAACCAAGUGAAUUCGCCAAUUGAUCUCUUAUUAAUGUCGUGGAUGUAAUUGUAGAGACUGACGAUGAAAGGCUAACCAUUGAGGACCCCCUUAAUGCAUGUCUAAUGAAUUUGGAUGAGGUAAAUAGAGAGGAUCUAGCAGAAUGGGUGUUGGCGCUAGAGGGUAGAGGGUUCUAGGAUAGAACUCUAGAAUUUGAGCCCUUGCACUUGGAAAAUUGAGAAACUCCUCCAGCCAAGCCAUCAAUCAAAGAACCACCAGAGCUAGAGUUAAAUCCAUUGCCCGCCCAUCUCAGGUAUGAAUUUCUUGGACCUAAAUCCACAUUUCCUGUUAUUAUCUCAUCUAGUUUGUUAGAUGCACAGGCUCAACAACUGCUGCUGGUACUAAAGGAGUGCAAGACUGCCAUUGGGUGGACCAUGGCAGACAUAAAGGGGAUCAGCCCCGCCUACUGUAUGCAUAAAAUUCUACUGGAAGAGGGACACAAACCUUCCAGGGAACACAAAAGAAGGAUGAACAUGAAGGAAGUGGUGAAGAAAGAAAUAAUCAAAUGGUUAGAUGUGGAAAUCCUUUUAUUUACCCUAACCUAAACCCAACCCCCCACAACCGCCCAAACCUCACUUUCUGUUCAACUUCUCUCAUCUGUCUUCAUUCUUCUUCUUCUGCAACUCUUGUUUCUUCUUUCUUCUUCUUCUUCUCCAACUUUUAUCUCUUCCUUCUUCUUCUUCUUCAUAUAACCCAAAACCCCCAUUUAUUUUUAUUCCUUCUUCUUAUUCCCUUCCUCCAUCCAAACCCUACCUCUCCACAACCCCCCACCCCCCCCAAAAAANNNNNNNNNNNNNNNNNNNNNNNNNNNNNNNNNNNNNNNNCCUAUCCCCCUGACCCCUCCACAACCCCAACUUGUCCCCAAGACUCCACGGUAAUCUUCAAGUAAGUUGUCUAAUUUUUCUUGUGUUUUGUGUACUUUGCCUUAUGUAGUGAUUACUGUGUAGAAUUCUUGAUCUUGGGUGCAUGGGGUUUUAAACUCCAAGGUGGGUCUUGUAGAUUGUGUUUGGGGUUAAUUUGUGUAGAUGUGAGGGUGUGUGCCUAGUUGACAAUUUUUGUAUGGGGUGGGUGGUGGUAGCACUUAACUGUUAUUAAUUGGUGGGAGCUUGCAGGGGGUCUUAUAGGGCGGAAUUGUAUCAUUGAUAAGUGGUGUGGGGUUAAUAGCGGAUGUUGUCCACUCUGGCACCUUACUAGAUGGUUAUACUGGCCAUGCUUGACAAAAAGGAAACUGUUUGGUGCCAGCGGGUGGCGAAGUCUGAGUACCCAUCCGACUGGCCCAUGUUUGGCUGCCCCUGAUCAUCAUGAUGAAAUGAUUGUAGGUAGUAUGGCCUGAAAGAGGCGAGAGAACUCGGGAAGCACUUCUGAAGUGCCGACUUAUGAUAUCACCCGGUUCACGUCCGAGGAUGCACAUGAAAGGUUUCAUGCUAAAGCUACCAAAAGCUUUGUCCCUAAAAUUGCUAUUGACAGGGCUGCCCUCCGUGUAAAAAACUAGACAUGUACAAGGAAAUUCGCCAGAGGGGGGGAGUUUUUGUUCGAGGAACCUGAAAUAGCCAAUCCUAUGAUAGUCCAAGAGUUCUACGCAAACUGACCAGAAUUUUUGUCCCGUUCUGUGAUUGUGCAGGGCAAAGUGGUAGAUGCCUCAGUAUUGAAGAUUCGCGAGGUCUUGCAACUGCCUCCGUUCACUAGUGAAGCUGAUUAUUACCAUAAUUCUCCAGGGAUAUUAGGACCCUUAGGACUCUUUUGGACUAAGGUGGGUGAGGGCAAGAAUGCAUCCCGUGGUGUGCAUACCUGCAAAUACUUAAAACGAACUUGAGGGUGCGACGUCUAGGCCCACGUGUAGACUCUUAAUCUUAUGCCUUAAUUUUGCACACCUUGUCUUACUUGAACUCUCACGUGAAUGUGUUAACAAACUAAUUCGGAAUGAGUUUCAUGCCAAGUGUGUGUAAGGUAAUACACGCAUUCUAUGCUUGCAUGCAGUACCUAGAACAUGCCCCAUGUAUGUGCAAAGAGAAAUGGAAAUUGUUUGGUCUUAGAGAUGAUUUAGGCAUUUCUUUGUGUCGUCCAUAUAAUCAUGAAUCCACAUGUACAUAUUACCAUAGUUAACCUCUUUAAACCUAUAAUCCUUUUUCUUUGGCAACCACAUUACAAGCCUUACCCAUUUAUUGAAUUAACCAUGUAUUUAAACCUUUUUCACCUCUCAUGAGCACUUGAAUUGUUAUGAACCUUGUAAAAGUUAAAGUGUGGGGUGGUCGGUUUGGUUUUUGAGUGGAACUAGUUGAAUAAGGAGAGAGGUGCACUAUUUUGAAAAAGGAAUAGCCACUUGAAAAAAAAAUAGAAACUCCUCGAUAAGUGGUGGCUCUUGAUGCAAGUGUGCUUAAAGAAGAAUGGGGUAGUUACAUUGAUGUGAAGAUGGAAUUUUGGGGUGACAUAAGGAUGAGGUUUAACUGAGAAAAUGUAUAUAUUAAAAAUCUUAGGAGGUGUAGUCACUCUUAUAUUUAAAUGCAUCCUACUAGCCAUGCAGCCUACAUUACAACCAAAUGAAGCCCUAUUGAUCUUAGACUGAACAAUUCGAUUAGUAUAAUAUUACACUAAGGGCAAGCUUAUGGUGUAUCUGUGUGGCAUAUGAAUGUUCUUUGCUGCGUGUGAGUGAAUUCGUUAUAUCUAUAGUUCCUUGUUGUUUGAUUUCAUGUGUGUGGAACUUCAAACUCUAAAACAAAUUGUGAUGUGAGGGUAUUUAACUCAAGAAGAAAAAAGCAAGUCUUCACUUCUGUUUAGAGUACAUAGAGUAAACAUGAGUGUAGCAUGGCAUUAGAGUAUUAAUCUGAGGUGUUGUAGUUGCAUUGCUUAGGUUGUUCUUUCAUAAUAGCAGGUGUGACAUAAAAAGGGUAAUGCAUCAAAUGAAAAGGCCUAGAAGUGUGGUUCAACUUGCUCGAGGACAAGCAAAGAUUUAAGUGUGGGGUCUUGAUAAAAGGUGAAUUAGACUAUAAUUAUGCCCUAAAGAACCAUAGUUUUGUAUAGCUUUAUGGCAAAAAAAGUGAUAACCAAAUGUUUUGAUUAGUGCUUUUCAUGCUUUGUAGGCUAUAUCCAAUAAAAGAAGUUGGUGGAGCACUUUUGGGAUCAAUUACGGAGAAAAGGAGGCCAAUCAAACAAUACCCACG